ACUCCUACGGGAGGCAGCAGUGGCGAAUUUUGGACAAUGAGCGCAAGCCUGAUCCAGCAAUGCCGCGUGAGUGAAGAAGGCCUUCGGGUUGUAAAGCUCUUUCAGUUGAGAAGAAAAAAUUGUGACUAAUGAUCACAAUUGAUGACGGUAUCAACAGAAGAAGCACCGCCUAACUACGUGCCAGCAGCCGCGGUAAUA
rnacentral:rRNA from 1 species